rnacentral:rRNA from 1 species
GAAUGGUGGAUGCCUUGACUGGUAAAGGCGAUGAAGGACGUACUAGACUGCGAUAAGCUACGGGGAGCUGUCAAGAAGCUUUGAUCCGUAGAUUUCCGAAUGGGGCAACCCAAUGUAUAGAGAUAUACAUUACCUAUAUAGGAGCGAACGAGGGGAAUUGAAACAUCUUAGUACCCUCAGGAAAAGAAAUCAAUAGAGAUUGCGUCAGUAGCGGCGAGCGAAAGCGCAAGAGGGCAAACCCAGUGCUUGCACUGGGGGUUGUAGGACUGCAAUGUGCAAGAGGUAAGUUUAGCAGAACAUUCUGGAAAGUAUAACCAUAGAGGGUGAUAGUCCCGUAUGCGAAAAACAAAGCUUAGCUAGCAGUAUCCUGAGUAGGGCGGGACACGAGGAAUCCUGUCUGAAUCCGGGUCGACCACGAUCCAACCCUAAAUACUAAUACCAGAUCGAUAGUGCACAAGUACCGUGAGGGAAAGGUGAAAAGAACUGAGGUGAUCAGAGUGAAAUAGAACCUGAAACCAUUUGCUUACAAUCAUUCAGAGCCCUAUGUAGCAAUACAGGGUGAUGGACUGCCUUUUGCAUAAUGAGCCUGCGAGUUGUGGUGUCUGGCAAGGUUAAGCAAACGCGAAGCCGUAGCGAAAGCGAGUCUGAAUAGGGCGCUUAGUCAGAUGCUGCAGACCCGAAACGAAGUGAUCUAUCCAUGAGCAAGUUGAAGCUAGUGUAAGAACUAGUGGAGGACUGAACCCAUAGGCGUUGAAAAGCCCCGGGAUGACUUGUGGAUAGGGGUGAAAGGCCAAUCAAACUUCGUGAUAGCUGGUUCUCUCCGAAAUAUAUUUAGGUAUAGCGUUGUGUCGUAAUAUAAGGGGGUAGAGCACUGAAUGGGCUAGGGCAUACACCAAUGUACCAAACCCUAUCAAACUCCGAAUACCUUAUAUGUAAUCACAGCAGUCAGGCGGCGAGUGAUAAAAUCCGUCGUCAAGAGGGAAACAACCCAGACUACCAGCUAAGGUCCCUAAAUCUUACUUAAGUGGAAAACGAUGUGAAGUUACUUAAACAACCAGGAGGUUGGCUUAGAAGCAGCCAUCCUUUAAAGAAAGCGUAAUAGCUCACUGGUCUAGUGAUUUUGCGCGGAAAAUAUAACGGGGCUAAAGUAAGUACCGAAGCUGUAGACUUGCACACAACUUAGAUUAUUUAAGUUUAGAAUAUGAGAAACUAAGUUAUAUGUUUAGUUAUAUUUUUACUGAUUUUUAUAGAGUAAAGAUAGAAAUAAAACUUAGUAAAAUCAGUAAAAAUAUUCUUAGACUAAAGUUAAGUAGUUUAAGUUGUGUGCAAGUGGUAGGAGAGCGUUCUAUUUGCGUCGAAGGUAUACCGGUAAGGAGUGCUGGAGCGAAUAGAAGUGAGCAUGCAGGCAUGAGUAGCGAUAAUUAAUGUGAGAAUCAUUAACGCCGUAAACCCAAGGUUUCCUACGCGAUGCUCGUCAUCGUAGGGUUAGUCGGGUCCUAAGUCGAGUCCGAAAGGGGUAGACGAUGGCAAAUUGGUUAAUAUUCCAAUACCAACAUUAGUGUGCGAUGGAAGGACGCUUAGGGCUAAGGGGGCUAGCGGAUGGAAGUGCUAGUCUAAGGUCGUAGGAGGUUAUACAGGCAAAUCCGUAUAACAAUACUCCGAGAACUGAAAGGCUUUUUGAAGUCUUCGGAUGGAUAGAAGAACCCCUGAUGCCGUCGAGCCAAGAAAAGUUUCUAAGUUUAGCUAAUGUUGCCCGUACCGUAAACCGACACAGGUGGGUGGGAUGAGUAUUCUAAGGCGCGUGGAAGAACUCUCUUUAAGGAACUCUGCAAAAUAGCACCGUAUCUUCGGUAUAAGGUGUGGUUAGCUUUGUAUUAGGAUUUACUCCGAAAGCAAGGAAACUUACAACAAAGAGUCCCUCCCGACUGUUUACCAAAAACACAGCACUCUGCUAACUCGUAAGAGGAUGUAUAGGGUGUGACGCCUGCCCGGUGCUCGAAGGUUAAUUGAUGGGGUUAGCAUUAGCGAAGCUCUUGAUCGAAGCCCGAGUAAACGGCGGCCGUAACUAUAACGGUCCUAAGGUAGCGAAAUUCCUUGUCGGUUAAAUACCGACCUGCAUGAAUGGCGUAACGAGAUGGGAGCUGUCUCAAAGAGGGAUCCAGUGAAAUUGUAGUGGAGGUGAAAAUUCCUCCUACCCGCGGCAAGACGGAAAGACCCCGUGGACCUUUACUACAGCUUGACACUGCUACUUGGAUAAGAAUGUGCAGGAUAGGUGGGAGGCUUUGAGUAUAUGACGCCAGUUGUAUAUGAGCCAUUGUUGAGAUACCACUCUUUCUUAUUUGGGUAGCUAACCAGCUUGAGUUAUCCUCAAGUGGGACAAUGUCUGGUGGGUAGUUUGACUGGGGCGGUCGCCUCCCAAAUAAUAACGGAGGCUUACAAAGGUUGGCUCAGAACGGUUGGAAAUCGUUCGUAGAGUAUAAAGGUAUAAGCCAGCUUAACUGCAAGACAUACAAGUCAAGCAGAGACGAAAGUCGGUCUUAGUGAUCCGGUGGUUCUGUGUGGAAGGGCCAUCGCUCAAAGGAUAAAAGGUACCCCGGGGAUAACAGGCUGAUCUCCCCCAAGAGCUCACAUCGACGGGGAGGUUUGGCACCUCGAUGUCGGCUCAUCGCAUCCUGGGGCUGGAGCAGGUCCCAAGGGUAUGGCUGUUCGCCAUUUAAAGCGGUACGCGAGCUGGGUUCAGAACGUCGUGAGACAGUUCGGUCCCUAUCUGCCGUGGGCGUAAGAAGAUUGAAGAGAUUUGACCCUAGUACGAGAGGACCGGGUUGAACAAACCACUGGUGUAGCUGUUGUUCUGCCAAGAGCAUCGCAGCGUAGCUAAGUUUGGAAAGGAUAAACGCUGAAAGCAUCUAAGCGUGAAGCCAACUCUAAGAUGAAUCUUCUCUAAGCUCUCUAGAAGACUACUAGUUUGAUAGGCUGGGUGUGUAAUGGAUGAAAGUCCUUUAGCUGACCAGUACUAAUAGAGCGUUUGGCUUAUCUUUAAUAAAGCAU